rnacentral:SRP_RNA from 1 species
GCCGGACGCAGUGGCGCGCGCCUGUAGUCCCAGCUACUCGGGAGGCUGAGACGGGAGGAUCGCUUGAGCCCAGGAGUUCUGGGUUGUAGUGCGCUAUGCCGAUCGGGUGUCCGCACUAAGUUCGGCAUCAAUAUGGUGACCUCCCCGGAGCGGGGGACCACCAGGUUGCCUAAGGAGGGGUGAACCGGCCCAGGUCGGAAACGGAGCAGGUCAAAACUCCCGUGCUGAUCAGUAGUGGGAUCGCGCCUGUGAAUAACCACUGCACUCCAGCCUGGGCAACAUAGCGAGACCCCGUCUCU